CCACAGUCCUGGUGGGAAAUGUGUUGUCCUAGACUCUGAACAUUCAUGACAUAAACUCGAUCUGAGGUCUGUGGCUCAGACUUCACCUUUUCAGGCGCGUCAUUCAGGUGACCCAGACUUAAGCAGAUACAGCUCUGCAGCCCUGCCAUUAACCAUCCCACCCCUGUUGGCGAGAAAGGCAGCUGGACUGAAGGACAGGACCCAACAGAACCCAGAACCGAGGUAUCCAGGCCUCCACAGUGGAGAGGAGCCCUCAGCCAGAUUGCUCGCUGCCAAGAUGUUCUGCUGUUUGCCCCUGCCCAGAAGCCGAGGCCUCAGCAGAGCUCAAAGGGAGAGUGUGUGGGAACGCGGACGACGCUGGCUCAGGGGCCCCCCGAGAGGCCUCUGGCCCUUCGCCCGAAGGAACAGAAAGAGCUUCCCACUGGAUGUGGCCGAUGAGGGGGACACCCUGUCCACCUCCCCGAGGGAAGGGUCAGACCACCCCACCCCUGCCCUUGAGGCCCAGUGCAGGGUCCAGGUGAGCAUGCCCACGGAGGGGUCAGCCCAACAGGGAAUGAAGAGGAGGCAAAGAAGGCCUGCUCCACAGACACCACCCAGGACACAGCCUGGGGCCCAGUCUCAGGCUGCCAAGGGGCUCAGCACACCCGGCUCCAACCCAGAGCCCCGAGAACCCCUGCCUCUGAGGCAGGAGGAGGACCUGGAGCCCAGCACGGCAGAGCACACAGCUCUAAAACCGGCCUUCAAAGUCAACCAGGCUCCACUUUCAAGUCCUGUCCCUACAGCAGUGGUUGCUCCAGGUGCAGGACCCAGGGAUCCACUGAAGGGAGAUCGAGACCUGAGACUUCCCUUCCCAAAGACACUGGGCCAGCUGGGUACUGGCCAGCACCCUGGGCAGAUGGCAUCUCUGUGCCUGCAGGGCCCCCAGCCCCAGACACCGAUGUCCCACCCCCUCAGCGAGAACAUCCACCUCCACCUGCACCUGCACCUGCUCGGGCUUUGGCAGGAGAACCUGAGUCAGGGGAUGAGUCACCACCUCUGCAGGGAGAGUCUGCCCUGGCUCCUGCCCAAGACCCACACUCCCAGGAUGACUGACCCACCCCUGAAGGGAGAGUGGGCCCCUGCUAUGGACAGAGACCCAGAUGCCUUUCCACUUCCAUUUCUAGAAACACCAUGUCCAAGGGCAGGGCUGGCUCUGCAGCCUCUAUCCCUGUCUGCCCCCCAUGGAUGCCAUCAACUCGCUCCCCACCCAGGGGAGAUUGAGUUCCCUUCCCCUGAGAGUCUUUUCAUUUGGUUUUUCUGGAAC
rnacentral:lncRNA from 1 species